UCGGAUAUGGUGUAAUGGUUAACAUUACCGCCUCUCAUAUUUGGGUUCGCGGUAGCUCGGGGUUCGAUUCCCCGUAUCCGAA